rnacentral:rRNA from 1 species
CCUACGGGAGGCAGCAGUGAGGAAUAUUGGUCAAUGGCCGAGAGGCUGAACCAGCCAAGUCGCGUGAGGGAAGACGGCCCUACGGGUUGUAAACCUCUUUUGUCGGGGAGCAAAGAGAGUCACGUGUGACUCAUUGAGAGUACCCGAAGAAAAAGCAUCGGCUAACUCCGUGCUAGCAGCCGCGGUAAUACGGAGGAUGCGAGCGUUAUCCGGAUUUAUUGGGUUUAAAGGGUGCGCAGGCGGAGGUGCAAGUCAGCGGUAAAAUUGCGGGGCUCAACCCCGUACUGCCGUUGAAACUGCAUCCCUUGAGUGCGCGAGAAGUAUGCGGAAUGCGUGGUGUAGCGGUGAAAUGCAUAGAUAUCACGCAGAACUCCGAUUGCGAAGGCAGCAUACCGGCGCCCGACUGACGCUGAGGCACGAAAGCGUGGGUAUCGAACAGGAUUAGAUACCCUUGUAGUC